rnacentral:rRNA from 1 species
GACGUAGGGCGCGAGCGUUUGUCCGGAUUUAUUGGGCGUAAAGAGCUCGUAGGCGGUUUGUCGCGUCUGCUGUGAAAACUGGAGGCUCAACCUCCAGCCUGCAGUGGGUACGGGCAGACUAGAGUGCGGUAGGGGGAGAUUGGAAUUCCUGGUGUAGCGGUGGAAUGCGCAGAUACAGAGGAGACACCGAUGGCGAAGGCAGAUCUCUGGGCCGUAACUGACGCUGAGGAGCGAAAGCAUGGGGAGCGAACAGG